CUACGGGGGGCAGCAGUGGGGAAUUUUGGACAAUGGGCGCAAGCCCGAUCCAGCCAUUCCGCGUGAGUGAAGAAGGCCUUCGGGUUGUAAAGCUCUUUCGCAAGGGAAGAAAACUUAUCCUCUAACAUAGGGUGAGGUUGACGGUACCUUGAUAAGAAGCACCGGCUAACUACGUGCCAGCAGCCGCGGUAAUACGUAGGGUGCGAGCGUUAAUCGGAAUUACUGGGCGUAAAGCGUGCGCAGGCUGUUUUGUAAGUCAGAUGUGAAAUCCCCGAGCUCAACUUGGGAACUGCGUUUGAAACUACAAGACUCGAAUAUGUCAGAGGGGGGUAGAAUUCCAUGUGUAGCAGUGAAAUGCGUAGAGAUGUGGAGGAAUACCAAUGGCGAAGGCAGCCCCCUGGGAUAAUAUUGACGCUCAUGCACGAAAGCGUGGGGAGCAAACAGGAUUAGAUACCCGUGUAGUC
rnacentral:rRNA from 1 species